rnacentral:rRNA from 1 species
AGCCAUGCCGCGUGAGUGAUGAAGGCCUUCGGGUUGUAAAGCUCUUUCGGCGGGGACGAAAAUGACGGUGCCAAUACCGGAAGCCCCGGACAGUUCCGUGCCAGCAACCCCCGGCUUACUUCGGGCCCGCGGGUUCGGUAAUAUUAAUGGGGGUAACGUUAAUCUAAGUUACUGGGCGUGUAGGGUGUGAAAUCCGCUUGCUCAACCUGAAGUCAGAUCCCCGGACUCAACCUCUGAACUGCAUUUGAGACUGGUGGACUUGAGUGUGGGAGAGGGGAAUGGAAUUUUUUGUGUAGGAAUGCAAUUGGUAAAUGCGGCACACAACACCGAUAGUGAAGGUCAUCUCCUGAACCGUGACUGACGCUCAGGAUUAAAUAGGGGGGUAGUCAAAAGGAUUAAUUCCC